GGUCAUCUCCGCCAUCGGCGGGCGGUCUUCCUGCGAGGUGGUCGAUGCUUUGGAGACCUUCUCCUUAGGACCCUUGAUCCAGGUAGGCUGGCAGUAUGAAUAGCUGGUGUGGGGGUAGAGGUAGUGCCGGGAGUAGCCGUCUCAUCUUCACUGCUUUCUCCAUGGGGGCAGAUGUUGGAGCCACGCGCUUUUCCAGUAAUGCCCAGAAGACGGCCCGGACUGGCCAUCGGGCAUACCGGGCAAAUGCCCGGUGGGCCGCGAUGGCCGUGGGGCUGAGGCAGGCAGGGGAGAUCACAGGAUCUCCCCGGCCGGCCCCUGCAGGGUCCGCACUAUCCGAGCGCUGGCCCUGCUGUGUGCCUACAUGGGCCGGUGGGGAGAUCUUUUGUCCUCUGGUAUCCCACUUGUGGAGACACCAGACACAAUUUAAAAGCAAACACAGCGCAAGCAUGUUAUUAAAUUUGCUUGCGCUGCGCAGAACAAAUACAGGGCAUUUUUCUAAUGCUAGAGCUCUGCCCAGAAGCGUUUAAAGCUCUCAUCAAUCCGCAUGUGUGUGCACUCCACCAUAGAGCUGCAAUCUCCGCCGGGUGGCGUGGAAGUAGAAGGUGAUGUAAGCUAUCCGCCAUCAUGUGAGUUUCACUGCUCAGAAUGGAUGAGCUGCACUGGGUAACACACAUGGCCACACAUGGCCCACAGAGGCACUGGUGCCUGGCCAGUGGGGACCGGGAUAAACCCCACCGGUCCAAUGAGGGGGGGGACAGGGCCUGCAAGACGAUCCAUCAAAGAGCUGCACCAGGCAAUCAGUAAGUAGGCGAAGCGGCGGCCGUCCAGUCCACCCCACCCCUCACUGCAGUAGGCCGCAAGCUCAGGGUGCACAAUCUUCCAACAGGGCUUCACAGCUCAGCUUCCAGAUCUGAGUUCUGCUAGCAGUGCAGUUAGUCGUUGUGGUACCGCUGGUAGUUUUUAGUCAAGGGAUUAGUCGGAUUUUCUCUUAAUGGGAGCGAAAUAAGUAAGAUCAGGCAGGAGCUCAUCG